rnacentral:rRNA from 1 species
UGGGGGAUAUUGCACAAUGGGCGAAAGCCUGAUGCAGCGACGCCGCGUGGGGGAUGAAGGCCUUCGGGUUGUAAACUUCUUUUGCUCUGAACAAGGCAUGCCUUUGGGGUGUGUUGAGUGUAGGGGUUGAUUAGCGCCGGCUAACUACGUGCCAGCAGCCGCGGUAAUACGUAGGGCGCGAGCGUUGUCCGGAAUUAUUGGGCGUACAGGGCUUGUAGGUGGCUGGUUGCGUCUGUCGUGAAAGCUCAUGGCUUAACUGUGGGUUUGCGGUGGGUACGGGCUGGCUUGAGUGCAGUAGGGGGGGCUGGAAUUCCUGGUGUAGCGGUGGAAUGCGCAGAUAUCAGGAGGAAUACCGGUGGCGAAGGCGGGUCUCUGGGCUGUUACUGACGCUGAGGAGCGAAAGCGUGGGGAGCGAACAGG